rnacentral:lncRNA from 1 species
GUCUUCCCCGGGAGCCCACAGGGGUCUGAGGUUGAUCCCGGAGGCGCGAGGAGUCGGUACGGGUCACGGUUGUCCCGGCCCCUGAGGCGCAGGGUAGGAGUGGGGUCCCAUAGAUGUCAGACUCGGUCUGCAAGUAUCGUCGGCCUUCAUUUGUAGGUGAACAAGCCGAGAUUCUUGUGGCGUGAUAGGACUUGUGGUCGCCACGAAGGGGCCAGCUCCAUCGGGAAUCUGUAAUCGCCCAGCAGUUUCCCCGCCCCGCGCAUGUGAAAUAUGUAGCCCUCCGUAUUCAUUCUAGAAACUUCUGGGAACCCAGCGCCUUGGGGAGAUAGAACCGAGCCAGAUGUUCCCCCGCUGCGAGGAACUCAGAACCUGCAUAAAUAGAGAAGGUGGCAGGCAUAUAGUAGGGAGACCAGUAAUUCCAUUGAGCGCUGAUUUUGGGCCAGGCACGAUACAAGCAUUAUCUCUGCAAAACAUCUUAUUCAUUCGUUCAGCAAACGUUUCUUGAACUCUCAGAAGGAUGAAGGAAGUUUACCCAGCUACCUAUCAGCCUCCUGUGUCUUAAGCAGAGUGGAGACGGGGGUGGAUCCAGGCGCACCAGUAAGUUGUACUGGAGUUAAGCAGUAAGCUUUCUGGGCAGAGGAAAGUGCGGGCGUAAAGGUCCAAGGCUUGAAAAGGCGCAGCAGCACCUUUUUCUCUUUGGGGAAAGAAGCGGUGGCUGCGGGGAAUAAACCAACUCUGUAGAGGGGCGGGGCCGUGGGAAAGCGGUGGAACGGGGCAGGAAGGCUGGGCGUCAUUUGGGAGGCAAGGAACUUUUCUGUAAGGCAUAGCGCCCUUUCUGCACGGGACCUGUCCAGGUUCCACGCCACAGGCUUCUGCAGUUCCUGCAAACUGUUCCCAUCCCGCCCCGCGUUGCACGUCGGGAUUUGGAGUUCGCGAUGCUGAGAGCUGUUUCCACGUGGCGAUUCCGACU